rnacentral:rRNA from 1 species
AGUGAACGCUGGCGGUAGGCCUAACACAUGCAAGUCGAACGAUACCAGAGAGCUUGCUUUCUGGGAAAGUGGCGCACGGGUGCGUAACGCGUAUGCAACCUACCUUAAUCAGGGGGAUAGCCUCUCGAAAGAGAGAUUAACACCGCAUAACAUCAUUUUACGGCAUCGUAGAAUGAUCAGAUAUUUAUAGGAUUAAGAUGGGCAUGCGUGACAUUAGCUAGUUGGUGAGGUAACGGCUCACCAAGGCUACGAUGUCUAGGGGAUCUGAGAGGAUGACCCCCCACACGGGUACUGAGACACGGACCAGACUCCUACGGGAGGCAGCAGUAAGGAAUAUUGGUCAAUGGAGGCAACUCUGAACCAGCCAUGCCGCGUGCAGGAAGACGGCCCUAUGGGUUGUAAACUGCUUUUAUACGGGAAUAAACCUCUCUACGUGUAGGGAGUUGAAUGUACUGUAAGAAUAAGGAUCGGCUAACUCCGUGCCAGCCGCCGCAGUAA